rnacentral:ncRNA from 1 species
GGCGCCCUUCGGGGCUUAAUAGGGAAGUCGGUAGAAGCCGAUGCGGUCCCGCCACUGUAAGGACGAGCAGAUUUGCCGCGAUUGCCACUGGGGCGCAAGCUUUGGGAAGGCAGGCAGAGGAGUUAUGACGCCGAGCCAGGAGAACUGCCUGUUU